AAAUCGCAUCUGUACCGGUACAACCAUCGAGUUGUCACCGAUACACUUUCUGUACCGGUACAACCAUCAAGAUGUACCGGUACACAGCCCAGCAAAAUGCAAUCCGAGAGCAGUCUAAGUCCAUCAUUUUGGCGAACUUAGCGCUACUUUAAAUACUACAAUUUUCGGGAUACGAGCCAUAGAUCGGAACAUUAUCAACGACCCUCCAGAAUAACUGACAAAACUCCGAACACAGAUCAAACACUCAAACCUCGUAAUUUGUAAAGGUCUAGUGUGUUACAGCAUUUGUAAUUACAUCUUACCAAACGGCCCCUUAGUGAAUGGUAUCCGAGGUUCUAUAUUCGAAUCCUAGUUGAUUCAUAUUUUCAGCUAAAUUUAUUUUUUAAAAAUAUAAACAAAACAGGUUAAUUAUUUAAAUAUUAGUAAGUUGGGAGAAAAGAGAAAAAAAAUUCUCUAAAAAAAUAAACAAAGUGGGUAGCAUGCUGCUACCUUUCUCUCAAAAAAAAUUAUUUAAUAAUAAUAAUAAUAAUAUUUAUUAUUAUUAAAUAUUAAUUUUUAAUUAUUAUUAUUAUAAUAAAAUUUAAUUAUUUUAAAUAUUUGUAGCUUGGGAGGAGUGAGAGAAAAAAAUUCCAAUCCUAAUUAGCAUAUAAAUCUUAUUAAAUUAUCUUUUAUUUUUUUAAUUUAUCAAAAGAAUUUUAAGUUAGAACUACUGUUGAAAAGAAAAUAAAUUAAAAAUAUUUUUUUUUUUUAAUAAGGUUAGAAAUGGUGUUAGUUCUAAAAUAAAAAGGUUGUACGAUAUUAUUGU
rnacentral:lncRNA from 1 species